rnacentral:tRNA from 1 species
UGCGGUAGCUCAGUUGGUAGAGCAAUGGACUGAAAAUCCAUGUGUCGGCGGUUCAAUUCCGUCCCGCAC